rnacentral:rRNA from 1 species
AGUUAACGCUGGCGGCGUGCCUAACACAUGCAAGUCGAGCGAAGAGUGGCAGCGUAUCGCGCUCUUAGCGGCAGACGGGUGAGUAACACGUAAACAAUAUGCCCUCGAGUGGGAGACCACCAAGCGAAAGUUUGGCUAAUACCCCAUACAAUCCAGUCCGGGCAUCCGGAUUGGAUGAAAGUCGUAAGACGUUCGAGGAGUAGUUUGCGGCCUAUCAGCUAGUUGGUGAGGUAAUGGCUCACCAAGGCGACGACGGGUAGCCGGCCUGAGAGGGUGACCGGCCACACUGGAACUGAGACACGGUCCAGACUCCUACGGGAGGCAGCAGUGGGGAAUAUUGCACAAUGGGCGAAAGCCUGAUGCAGCAACGCCGCGUGAGGGAUGAAGGCCUUCGGGUUGUAAACCUCUUUUAGCAGGGAAGAAGCGAAAGUGACGGUACCUGCAGAAAAGGCACCGGCUAACUACGUGCCAGCCGCCGCGGUAA